rnacentral:rRNA from 1 species
AACGAACGCUGGCGGCAGGCUUAACACAUGCAAGUCGAACGCGUGUAGCAAUACACGAGUGGCGCACGGGUGAGUAACGCGUGGAUAUCUGCCUUUUGGUUCGGAAUAACCCCGGGAAACUGGGGCUAAUACCGGAUGGUUCCUUCGGGAUAAAGAUUUAUCGCCAAAAGAUGAGUCCGCGUCCGAUUAGCUAGUUGGUGAGGUAAUGGCUCACCAAGGCGACGAUCGGUAGCUGGUCUGAGAGGACGAUCAGCCACACUGGGACUGAGACACGGCCCAGACUCCUACGGGAGGCAGCAGUGGGGAAUAUUGGACAAUGGGGGCAACCCUGAUCCAGCCAUGCCGCGUGAGUGAUGAAGGCCUUCGGGUUGUAAAGCUCUUUUGGCGGGGACGAUGAUGACGGUACCCGCAGAAUAAGCCCCGGCUAACUUCGUGCCAGCCGCCGCAGUAACAC